rnacentral:rRNA from 1 species
AGAGUUUGAUCAGGGCUCAGGACGAACGCUGGCGGCGUGCUUAACACAUGCAAGUCGGACGAUGAAGCCCUUCGGGGUGGAUUAGUGGCGAACGGGUGAGUAACACGUGAGCAACCUGCCCUUGACUCUGGGAUAAGCCUGGGAAACUGGGUCUAAUACCGGAUACUACUUCCUGCCGCAUGGUGGGGGGUGGAAAGCCUUGUGCGGUCUUGGAUGGGCCCGCGGGCCAUUAGCUUGUUGGUGGGGUAACGGCCUACCAAGGCUUCGAUGGCUAGCUGGUCUGAGAGGACGAUCAGCCACACUGGGACUGAGACACGGCCCAGACUCCUACGGGAGGCAGCAGUGGGGAAUCUUGCGCAAUGCGCGAAAGCGUGACGCAGCAACGCCGCGUGUGGGAAGACGGCCUUCGGGUUGUAAACCACUUUCGGCAGGGAACAAGCCUUUCGGGGUGACGGUACCUUCAGAAGAAGCCCCGGCUAACUACGUGCCAGCAGCCGCGGUAAUACGUAGGGGGCUAGCGUUGUCCGGAAUCAUUGGGCGUAAAGCGCGUGUAGGCGGCUCGGUAAGUCUGUUGUGAAAGCCCAGGGCUCAACCCCGGGUGUGAAAUGCGCAGAUAUCAGGAGGAACACCGAUGGCGAAGGCAGGUCUCUGGGCUGUAACUGACGCUGAGGAGCGAAAGCAUGGGGAGCGAACAGGAUUAGAUACCCUGGUAGUCCAUGCCGUAAACGUUGGGCACUAGGUGUGGGGGCCAUUCCACGGUUUCCGCGCCGCAGCUAACGCAUUAAGUGCCCCGCCUGGGGGAGUACGGCCGCAAGGCUAAAACUCAAAGGAAUUGACGGGGGCCCGCACAAGCGGCGGAGCAUGCGGAUUAAUUCGAUGCAACGCGAAGAACCUUACCAAGGCUUGACAUGUGCCGGACCGUCCCAGAGAUGGGGCUUCCCUUCGGGGCCGGUUCACAGGKGGUGCAUGGUUGUCGUCAGCUCGUGUCGUGAGAUGUUGGGUUAAGUCCCGCAACGAGCGCAACCCUCGUUCCAUGUUGCCAGCACUUCGGGUGGGGACUCAUGGGAGACUGCCGGGGUCAACUCGGAGGAAGGUGGGGACGACGUCAAAUCAUCAUGCCCCUUAUGUCUUGGGCUUCACGCAUGCUACAAUGGCCGGUACAAAGGGUUGCGAUACUGUGAGGUGGAGCCAAUCCCAGAAAGCCGGUCUCAGUUCGGAUUGGGGUCUGCAACUCGACCCCAUGAAGUSGGAGUCGCUAGUAAUCGCAGAUCAGCAACGCUGCGGUGAAUACGUUCCCGGGCCUUGUACACACCGGCCUUA